rnacentral:misc_RNA from 1 species
GUUAAUCAUCUAAUUUUUGAACGCAAAUUGCACUCCUUUGUAUUCCGGGGAGUAUGCCUGUUUGAGUAUCGUUAGAUGAAAAAUCGAAGCAACGCGCGUUUUUUUUAGGGUGAUCGCUUCUUAAUUGACCCGACGUGCAAAUGUUAAUUCAUGUCAAAGUGUCUUAAAAUUCAUCCAUCCGGUACGAUUAAAGCGUAUUAAAGAUCAAUUAUGAUUUUGAACGCGCGAUGUCGUACCAUCUCAUUUAGUACGUU